CAGAUAUGGCCGGUACUUCUAUUUUAGAUUCAUCUGCCCAGACAUUCCUCAUUUUCUCAGGUAAUAAAGAACAAAGAGGACAGAAACUCUGAAACAGUUACCCUUUCCUCAUUGAGAUAAAACUAAGGCAGCAAAUAAAGUUUCCUGUUGUCUGUUCCUAUAAAUGCUGUGGGAAAAUAAAUUAAGGGCCAAGCUGCAGGGAAGAUUCAGCCAAACUGCUUCAACUUGUAUCAUGGUACAUCGAAGCAAACUGAUCUGGGGUCACCUCAAUAUGCAGGGCAGUAAGCUGUGGCAGACUAGUAGUCGCUAUAAAAGCAGCUUUCCUAUCCUAGCCCUAGAUUUGCAGUUGCAGACAGAGAAGCAGCAGAGCGUGCUGAGGACAGAAGUCACUGCAACCAUACCAAGUGGAAUUUGUCACUGAAACACCAACCUGGAGUUCAGCAGGGGAUAUCUUGCAUUUUUUUGAGAAACCAGAGCCAAAAUCUUCUGCACUGAUAUUUCAGAGGGACCAGGUCCAGAAUGAGGCUGUGAGCACAGACAACUGUCUCAGCUGAUGAAGGUAUUGUAGGAAGUUUUCAUCAAAAGGAAUAAAUCUAAGUUUGGUAAUAUUACCUUUCUAGAAGAACAUAAUAUA